AACGAACGCUGGCGGCAUGCUUAACACAUGCAAGUCGAACGAGACCUCCCGGUCUUUUUGCGCACGGGUGCUUAACGCCUGGUAACUUGCCCUUAGGUUCGCAAUACCUCCCUGUAAGGUGUCCUCAUACCGCAUAAUCUCUUCCGAGCUAAGAUCUAUUGCUUUUGGAUGGGCCCGGGUUGGAUUCGCUUGUUGGUAGGGUAAAAGCCUACCAAGGCCACGAUGCAUAGCUGGUGUGAGAGGAUGAGAAGCCACACUGGGACUGAGACACGGCCCAGACUCGGACGGGAGGGAGCAGUGGGGAAUAGUGGACAAUGGGGGAAAGGCUGAUCCAGCAAUGCCGCGUGAGUGAUGAAGGCCUUAGGGUUGUAAAGCUGUUUUAACAGGGAUGAUAAUGACGGUACCGGGAGAAUAAGCUCCGGCUAACUACGUG
rnacentral:rRNA from 1 species